UAUGUACGUAUAUAUAUAUUGUUGGUUCAUUAACAUUGACGUUACGGCCAACAGCAUUUCAACUCAUACUUCAGAGGGUGGAGGUUUGUGGAGAGGAGUGUUUUCCUGGAGAGCUCUCAGCAUAGAUACACUUGUGUGGACCUAAAGUUGCCCAAGCUAGGAGGGCCAGCCCAUCCCGGUCUGCCCUGGGUUGAGGGCUUUCCCAGGAGAGUGAACCUUCAGUGCUAAAGCCAGAUAGGGACAGCUGUUCACCCUACCUGCCUCCCUACAUCUGUCCAUGGGUUCUGCAUCUCCCCUUUGGAGUGGCACAAAACAAAGAUGAUCCACUCUUUCCCAACUCUGAGUGAAGACACAUCUGAGUGAGUGAAGACACAUCUUGGGUCCACUUCUUAGGCUCAACAUCCUCAAUUUCUUGGACCUCCUUCGUAUUGUGUGAGGUGGCAGAGGCUGCUGACUGAUCGCCAGGCUCCUCUUCUCUUCUUCUGCACUUUCCAGCCUCUCUUGCAGAGCAUGUUUCAGGCAUACUUGUUCAACUAGUCACUCAGCCUCAACAGCCUCCAGGCUGUUUCAUCAUUUUAUCUGUGAGGAUUUCAAAGGAAACCAGGAGCCGAGUGCCCAGAAAGAAAAGAAGACUGGAAUCAGAGAGCAUUCAAGUUCAAGGGCCCAGAGGCACAGUAGCCCCGAAGCCUCAAGGACUUUCUACCAAAACUCACAGGUACAACCUUGAAAACACAAGAAAAGAAAACAAGAACUUGCCUUCUUGGGCAAGGGGAGUUGAAAGAGGCUGGGCCCAGAACUCCAGAGAUGAAAUGGGAGCAGCUGCAGCCUGGCUGUUACUCCAAGUAUGUCAUGCUGAGAAGUAAUGGGAGUGUGUGCUCAUCACUGUCUGUGGUGUGGACUUAGGACGUGCCCCCUGGAAGCAUCGAUUCUGCCCCCUGAAUUGCUUGCUGAGGGUGUGCUCUGCAGAGGGGCUGCCCACCCAGCCUCUUUAUGUUGACCCACUUUCCUGCUUUAUGCAAAGUAAUUGGCCAAGCAUUGUACAAAAGAAGGAUAAUUAAUCCACUGGCUUAACCCUU